AGUGAACGCUGGCGGUAGGCCUAACACAUGCAAGUCUAACGGCAGCACAGUAAGAGCUUGCUCUUACGGGUGGCGAGUGGCGGACGGGUGAGGAAUACAUCGGAAUCUACUUUUUCGUGGGUGAUAACGUAGGGAAACUUACGCUAAUACCGCAUACUACCUACGGGUGAAAGCAGGGGUUCUUCGGACCUUUCGCGAUUGUAUGAGCCGAUGUCGGAUUAGCUAGUUGGCGGGGUAAAGGCCCACCAAGGCGCCGAUCCGUAGCUUGUCUGAGAGGAUGAUCAGACACACUGGAAAUGAGAAACGGUCCAGACUCCUAAGGGAGGCAGCAGUGGGGAAUAUUGGACAAUGGGCGCAAGCCUGAUCCAGCCAUACCGCGUGGGUGAAGAAGGCCUUCGGGUUGUAAAGCCCUUUUGUUGGGAAAGAAAAGCAGCAGGUUAAUUCCCCGCUGUUCUGACGGUACCCAAAGAAUAAGCACCGGCUAACUUCGUG
rnacentral:rRNA from 1 species